AAAACAAAGCGUUUGCUAGUAAUAUUGCGCGGUGGUGUACGAGGCUGACGCUGUGUUAUCAUGUCCUAUCUGAUGUAUAAACAAUGACGACGUAGCAGGACAACGUUAGUAUAACUUCAGGAAUAACUUGGUCAAACAAAGAUGGAUUCAUCUCAUGAAAAGUCCAAGUGGUUGGGUGUACUUAUUCCAUCUAUUACAAAGAUUCAACAACUCCAUCAUGCCCGGUUAAGUUUAGCUGACGAUGCGUUACGUUACUUGGAUUCUUUAUUAAUCCGACUUCUGUCUUCACUGCUUAGCCCUCCACCAAAGAAUCUACAAGAAGCUCAAGAUCAAAUUAAUCGGAAAUUUCCGGAACCUUUAU